GCCGGCGUAGCUCAGCAGGUAGAGCAUCUGAUUUGUAAUCAGAGGGUCGCAGGUUCGAUUCCUGUCGCCGGCUCCA
rnacentral:tRNA from 2 species